rfam:Schistosoma rodhaini strain Burundi genome assembly, scaffold: SROB_scaffold0008888
AUUCAGCUAACGAGUUCCAAAUAGGACUGAACGCGCGUCCUGCAU